UACGGGGGGAGCAAGCGUUGUUCGGAUUUACUGGGCGUAAAGGGCGCGUAGGCGGCGUGACAAGUCACUUGUGAAAUCUCCGGGCUUAACUCGGAACGGUCAAGUGAUACUGUCGUGCUAGAGUACAGAAGGGGCAACUGGAAUUCUCGGUGUAGCGGUGAAAUGCGUAGAUAUUGGGAAGAACACCGGUGGCGAAGGCGGCUCUCUGGACCGAUACUGACGCUGAGGCGCGAAAGCGUGGGGAGCAAACAGG
rnacentral:rRNA from 1 species